rnacentral:RNase_P_RNA from 1 species
CCCGGCCCGUCAUCCGCUACGGGGUGUAAUUACCCUGAGGAAGCACCGCCCUCCGUACGGCACCGGGGCCCCGCAAGGGGCCGGGGUAAUACCCCGGGCAACGGCACAGAAACGACACGUCCGCCAAUCAAUGAGGAUGAGGCGGUGAGGCUCCCCGGGUAACCGGGGAGCAGUAACCCGCUGACGAGGUUGGCGGGAGCGGUGAAACGGCCGUCCCCCGGGGAGCAAGGCCGAAAAGCACCGAUGAGAGCCGUACGAGGUGCGGGUAGGCCGCUUAGCCAAAUGCGGUUACACAGAAGGCGGGCUAUGACGGGCCGGG